AUUGAACGCUGGCGGCAGGCCUAACACAUGCAAGUCGAACGGUAACAGGAAGAAGCUUGCUUCUUUGCUGACGAGUGGCGGACGGGUGAGUAAUGUCUGGGAAACUGCCUGAUGGAGGGGGAUAACUACUGGAAACGGUAGCUAAUACCGCAUAACGUCGCAAGACCAAAGAGGGGGGCCUUCGGGCCUCUUGCCAUCGGAUGUGCCCAGAUGGGAUUAGCUAGUAGGUGGGGUAACGGCUCACCUAGGCGACGAUCCCUAGCUGGUCUGAGAGGAUGACCAGCCACACUGGAACUGGGACACGGUCCAGACUCCUACGGGAGGCAGCAGUGGGGAAUAUUGCACAAUGGGCGCAAGCCUGAUGCAGCCAUGCCGCGUGUAUGAAGAAGGCCUUCGGGUUGUAAAGUACUUUCAGCGGGGAGGAAGGGAGUAAAGUUAAUACCUUUACUCAUUGACGUUACCCGCAGAAGAAGCACCGGCUAACUCCGUG
rnacentral:rRNA from 1 species